UCUGGGGACGUGGGAGUGAGGCCUACCUCUGCCGACAUGCACCCACAGAACUUCCGACCCCCGACUCCUCCUUACCCCGGCCCAUGGGUAGGAGGUUGGAGCAGCGGGAGCAGCUACCGGGGUACCCCUGGCGAAGGCAGGCCGCGGCCUCCCUCCCCUCCGGACGAGUACCGGAUCCCGCAUCACACGCCGUCGUUCGGGCCCGGGUGUAGGCCCUAUGGGCGCAGCCACUCUGCGCAACACGGCGGCAGCUUCCCCGGGGGCCGGUUUGGGUCUCCAUCCCCUGGCGGCUACCCUGGCUCCUACUCCAGGCCCCCCGCGGGGUCCCAGCAGCAAUUCGGCUACUCCCCGGGGCAGCAGGCCCACCCCCAGGGUUCUCCAAGGACAUCUACACCUUUUGGAUCAGGGCGUGGUAGAGAAAAAAGAAUGUCUAAUGAGUUGGAAAGUUAUUUCAAACCUUCAAUGCUUGAAGACCCUUGGGCUGGCCUAGAACCAGUGUCUGUAGUGGAUAUAAGCCAACAGUACAGCAAUACUCAAACAUUCACAGGCAAAAAGGGAAGAUACUUUUGUUAACAUUUCUGAAAUUCAACUGGAAGCUUCAUGUGUCAGGAACAUCUUGGGCAAAACUCACUUGUGUACCUAAGUUGAACCCUGACAUGGUGACUUUGAAUAAUUAGUUGAGUCUUCUUGGUAUUUUUCAUCAUGUCAAAUAUUGUUGGUAUUAGAAAAGAAAUAUGGUAGGAUAAUUUGGAAUAUUUCUCUGAAAGUGCCUACCACAUUUUAGAAGAUUUACAGUUUCCAACUAUUUAACAUUCUUGGUUAUAUAAUGGACAUUUGUCUUUUAAUGUUUUUCCAGUGUUUUAAAAUAAAACAUUUUGUCUUCCUAAAAAAAAAAAA